AUGAUGUUUCUCAUUCCCAGGAGCCCGAGAGGCAGGGAUAGUUCCGGUCCCCAUUGCGUGGAUGACAUCAUGAUCCUCCAUAUGGGCGCCUCUGUGCCGUCCCAGAGAGCAGCAUGUCAGAACUCCGCCCCAUGGGAUGAUCGAGUUCCCAGUAGCAUAUUGACUGCACUGCUCUGGUGGUGGAGAAUGCACCAUGGCCCCUCCUGCCUCAUCCUGGGAGUGAGUCGUCAGGUAAAGAGGGGGCACUGGAUGGGAUGAUCCAUGACGAUUAUCAAGGGGGCAGAGUUUCUACUACACAACUAGGGUGAGAAUGUAUGGAUUCAGGAGAUCCCCUAAUUUUCCCUGGGUCUGUGAUCACAGUCACUCAGGCUCUCUGUCCGCAGUUAACACCCAGGCCCAGACAAGCAGGGAAGCCUAGUUCUGUCAGCCCUAAAUCCACUCCUGAUUCUCCCUGUGCAGAGAUGCCUGGAGAGCUAGGUAGGACCAGUACUUGAGGACCUAAGAUCUGGGGAUCUGGACCGGACCUGCUCACGGUCCACAGACAUCCUGGGCCUGGAGGAGAUGUAACACAGACUGGAAAGGAGUUUGUGUCUCACUUCCCCAUCUGCCUGUGUCACUGUGAGCAUCACUACUACUGUCCCACACCUGACAGUAAUAGUCAGCCUCGUCCUCGGCCCGGGCCCCGCUGAUGGUCAGGGUGGCCGUGUUCCCCGAGUUGGUGCCUGAGAAUCGGUCGGGGAUUCCUGAGGGCCGGUUGCUAUCACUAUAGAUAAUCAGCACAGGGGUUUGGCCUGACUUCUGCUGGUACCAGUGAACACUUUUGCUUUCAAUGUUGUUUCCUCCACAGGUGGUCCUGGCCGUCUGUCCCAGGCUCACCGACACUGAGGGGGGCUGAGUCAGCACAUAGGAGGCUAUGGAACCUGCAAGAGAGAAAAGGAGAGGUGGGUUUCUAGCUUCGAUUUCAUUCAGAGGACACUCCCACCUGCCUGGCUGAUCUCCAGGGAUUCUCGCCACCCCCUUUCUCAGCCCUUUGGACCCAUGGACCUGGCUGGCAGAUGGAGUUUUUAAAUAAAAGAGGCCACCAUCAUUAUUCUCUGGGUAGA
rnacentral:lncRNA from 1 species